UACGUAGGGGGCAAGCGUUGUCCGGAUUUAUUGGGCGUAAAGAGCGUGUAGGCGGUUUGGUAGGUCCGCUGUGAAAACUCGAGGCUCAACCUCGAGACGCGGUCGGAAACCCAUCAGGCUAGAGUCCGGAAGAGGAGAAGGAGUACUUCGUGGUAUGAGCGGUGAAAUGCGCAGAUAUCAGGAAGAACACCCGUGGCGUAAGGCGGUCUC
rnacentral:rRNA from 1 species